AUGCAAGAUCGGCAUGUAAUUGCUUACGCCUCACGGCAAUUGCACCCACAUGAGGAGAAUUAUCCUACUCAUGAUCUAGAGCUUGCAGCUGUAGUCUAUGCACUUAAAACCUGGCGACAUUACCUCCUCGGUAAUCGUUGCGAAAUAUUCACUGAUCACCAAAGUCUGAAGUACAUCUUCACCCAACCGGAUUUGAAUCUCAGGCAAAGACGUUGGGUCGAGUUGAUCACAGAUUUCGACUUAGGAAUAACUUACACCCCAGGGAAAGCCAACGUCAUGGCUGAUGCACUAAGUCGUAAAUCUUAUUGUAACAACCUGAUGUUACAACAAAGUCAACCGCUUCUCCAUGAGGAAUUUCGGAAGCUUAACCUUCACAUUGUUCCUCAAGGAUUUCUUUCCACCUUGGUGGCGAAACCUACUCUUACGGAUCAAAUCAUUGCUGCCCAGAAGCGAGAUAAGGGAAUAGCUAAGAUCAAGGAGAACAUUGCUAGCGGAGAUGCUAGUUGUUUCUCCACAAAUGAUCAUGGUGUUGUGUACUUUGGGAACCGUUUAGUGGUUCCCAAGAACCAGCAUCUACGACAGUUGAUCCUUAAGGAGGCUCAUGAAUCCCCUCUCACCAUUCAUCCGGGUAGUACCAAGAUGUAUCAGGACCUACGCCAGAGGUUCUGGUGGACUAGGAUGAAGAGAGAAAUUGCUCAGUAUAUUGCUAAUUGUGACGUCUGUCGUCGUGUAAAAGCAGAGCAUCAACGGCCUGCUGGCACCCUUCAGCCCCUAGCUAUUCCUGAAUGGAAAUGGGAUAAAAUUGGUAUGGAUUUCAUUACCGGUUUUCCCAGGACCAAGAGAGGGAAUAAUGCUAUCUUUGUCGUUGUCGAUCGUCUUUCCAAAGUGGCCCAUUUCUUACCUGUUCGUGAGAGUAUAACCGCUAGUCAGCUGGCAGACCUAUACAUCUCCCGAAUAGUGUCUCUUCAUGGUGUUCCUUUGGAAAUUAACUCGGAUCGAGGAAGUCUUUUCACCUCUCGAUUUUGGGAAAGUUUCCAAAACGCUAUGGGAACCCGCCUUUCCUUUAGCACCGCUUUUCACCCUCAAUCGAGUGGUCAAGUAGAACGCGUCAACCAGAUCCUAGAAGACAUGCUUCGAGCCUCUGUUAUCUCAUUCGGAAUGGAUUGGGAGAAAUGCCUUCCAUUUGCCGAAUUUGCUUACAACAACAGCUAUCAAUCUAGCUUGGGUAAAGCCCCUUUUGAAGUUCUCUAUGGAUGA
rnacentral:rRNA from 1 species